rnacentral:rRNA from 1 species
AGUGAACGCUGGCGGUAGGCCUAACACAUGCAAGUCGAGCGGCAGCACAGUAAGAGCUUGCUCUUACGGGUGGCGAGUGGCGGACGGGUGAGGAAUACAUCGGAAUUUACUUUUUCGUGGGGGAUAACGUAGGGAAACUUACGCUAAUACCGCAUACGACCUACGGGUGAAAGCAGGGGAUCUUCGGACCUUGCGCGAUUGAAUGAGCCGAUGUCGGAUUAGCUAGUUGGCGGGGUAAAGGCCCACCAAGGCGACGAUCCGUAGCUGGUCUGAGAGGAUGAUCAGCCACACUGGAACUGAGACACGGUCCAGACUCCUACGGGAGGCAGCAGUGGGGAAUAUUGGACAAUGGGCGCAAGCCUGAUCCAGCCAUACCGCGUGGGUGAAGAAGGCCUUCGGGUUGUAAAGCCCUUUUGUUGGGAAAGAAAAGCAGCAGGUUAAUACCCCGCUGUUCUGACGGUACCCAAAGAAUAAGCACCGGCUAACUUCGUG